AUUGAACGCUGGCGGCAGGCCUAACACAUGCAAGUCGAACGGUAACAGGAAACAGCUUGCUGUUUCGCUGACGAGUGGCGGACGGGUGAGUAAUGUCUGGGAAACUGCCUGAUGGAGGGUGAUAACUACUGGAAACGGUAGCUAAUACCGCAUAACGUCGCAAGACCAAAGAGGGGGACCUUCGGGCCUCUUGCCAUCGGAUGUGCCCAGAUGGGAUUGGCUAGUAGGUGGGGUAACGGCUCACCGAUGCGACGAUCCCUAGCUGGUCUGGGAGGAUGACCAGCCACACUGGAACUGAGACACGGUCCAGACUCCUACGUGAGGCAGCAGUGGGGAAUAUUGCACAAUGGGCGCAAGCCUGAUGCAGCCAUGCCGCGUGUAUGAAGAAGGCCUUCGGGUUGUAAAGUACUUUCAGCGGGGAGGAAGGGAGUAAAGUUAAUACCUUUGCUCAUUGACGUUACCCGCAGAAGAAGCACCGGCUAACUCCGUGCCAGCAGCCGCAGUAA
rnacentral:rRNA from 1 species